AAGGCAGGACGCCCUGACCAUGUCCACCAUGGCCUGGUCCCCUCUGCUCCUCACCCUGGUCACUCUCUGCACAGGAUCCUGGGCCCAGGAUGUGCUGACUCAGCCAUCGUCCGUGUCCAGGUCCCUGGGCCAGAGGGUCAGCAUCUCCUGCUCUGGAAGCAGCAGCAACAUUGGGCAUGAUAGUGUGAGCUGGUACCAACAGCUCCCAGGAAAGGCCCCCAGAUUCCUGAUCUAUGGUGAUGAUACCAGAGCCUUGGGGGUCCCGGAUCCAAUCUCUGACUCCAAGUCUGGGAACUCGGCCUCCCUGACCAUCACUUUGCUCCAGGGUGAGGAUGAAGCUGAUUAUUACUGCAGGUCUUAUGAUGACAGCUUGGAUAGUCACAUGGUGCUCCAGGCCAGGGUGGACGUGAGACAAAAACCUGCUCCUCGGCAGUGCCAGGGCUCCUGA